ACUGCUCAGUAACACGUCGGUAAUCUACCCUUAGGUCAGGGAUAUUCACGGGAAACUGUGGUUAACACCUGAUAAGAGACUCACCCUGGAAAGAUUUGUCUCCCAAAUUCGAGCCUAAGGAUGAGCCGGCGGCGGAUUAGGUUGUUGGCGGGGUAAUGGCCCACCAAGCCUUUGAUCCGUAAGGGCUCUUAGCGGAGAGGCCCUGAGAGAGAAUCUGAGACACUAUUCCCAGCCCUACGGGGUGCAGCAGUUAGGAAUAUUCUGCAAUGCGCGCAAGCGUGACAGAUUGAACCAGAGUGCUUUCCAACUGGAAAGCUUUUGCCAAAUGUAAAAAGUUUGGCGAAUAAGGACUGGGUAAGACGAGUGCCAGCCGCCGCGGUAAUACUCGCGGUCCAAGUCACAGCCAUUUUUAUUGGGUCUAAAACAUCCGUAGCUUGCUUGGUAAGUUUCCUGUGAAAUCCGGCUUCUUAAGAGUCGGGCGGGCAGGAAGUACUGCCAAGCUAGAGACUGGAAGACGUAAGAAGUACGAUUAAAGUAGCGGUAAAAUGUUUUGAUCUUAAUCGGACUCACAAUAGCGAAGGCAUCUUACGAGGACAGUUCUGACAGUAAGGGAUGAAGGCUAGGGGCGCAAAACGGAUUAGAUACCCGUGUAGUCCUAGCAGUAAACACUGCACACUAAACAUUAGUACCUCUUCGAGAGGUAUUAGUGCUGAGGGGAAGCCGAAGAGUGUGCUACCUGGGAAGUAUAGCCGCAAGGUCGAAACUUAAAGGAAUUGGCGGGGGAGCAC
rnacentral:rRNA from 1 species